rnacentral:lncRNA from 1 species
AAAUAUCCGGACCCAUACCCGAAACUUUAAUGGGUAUUUUUUUUUAUCCGUAUACUAUCUAUUUUUUAUCGGGUCCGGUUCAGACCCGGAUAGGAUCCGGAAGGGUCCGAGUCGGAUAUGGUAUAUCGAAUAUUUUGGACAGUUUUAGCUGUGUCAAUCAGGGUAGGUAAGGAUUGGAGCGAGUUUCUGACAAAUUUGAGCGAAUCAAAACGGACGAAAAUAAGAAAAAAGGUUUUUCGCCGUCCGCU